rnacentral:lncRNA from 1 species
UGAAUAAGCUCAACUCUAGAUGUUUCUUCUGGAAUUAGUGGUUUUCAGGUUUUACAGGUUUUACAAACGGCAGAGGUGUGGUACACAAGCUGGGGCAUAAUUAGUGUAGCCUGUCGUCCUCGUUGUGAUUAGUGUUAGAAACUAUAUUGUUAACUAUGAUAUCAUGAUAAUCUUUUGAUCGAAUAUUUUUAAUACGCAUAUGAGAUUUUAACAACUUGAUCUGGUUCCACUUUCUUGACAAAUUUGUGCAAAAUGUUUUCAGGUACUCAACCUAAUUAUGCACAUGGACGUGAUGACUCUCUAGCGUUUAUGGAUCAACCAACCUGUAAUCAUGGACCUUGUUGUCUUGUAGACCACUUGGUGUUUCGAGUGUUUUGGAGCUUGCACUUUGUGCAUGUAGAUACAAACUUAUGUUUUCUGGACCAUCUGAAGUCUCUCAUAGUAACCAAUAGUCCUUAUCUUUUUGUGACUUGUGUGUUCUAGAUGAUUGUUAAGAUGGUCAAAACUAUGCUUCCUCUAGGUUAAUUUGUUUGUCAACUUGCGUUCAAUGUAUGUGCAUGUUUAUAAACAUAUUUUCAUUGUGGUGUGAUAUGUGUUUAUCUUGAACCUUCUUGUGGGUGUG